rnacentral:rRNA from 1 species
GACGAACGCUGGCGGCGUGCUUAACACAUGCAAGUCGAACGGAAAGGCCCUGCUUUUGUGGGGUGCUCGAGUGGCGAACGGGUGAGUAACACGUGAGUAACCUGCCCUUGACUUUGGGAUAACUUCAGGAAACUGGGGCUAAUACCGGAUAGGAGCUCCUGCUGCAUGGUGGGGGUUGGAAAGUUUCGGCGGUUGGGGAUGGACUCGCGGCUUAUCAGCUUGUUGGUGGGGUAGUGGCUUACCAAGGCUUUGACGGGUAGCCGGCCUGAGAGGGUGACCGGCCACAUUGGGACUGAGCUACGGCCCAGACUCCUACGGGAGGCAGCAGUGGGGAAUAUUGCACAAUGGGCGGAAGCCUGAUGCAGCAACGCCGCGUGCGGGAUGACGGCCUUCGGGUUGUAAACCGCUUUCGCCUGUGAUGAAGCGUGAGUGACGGUAAUGGGUAAAGAAGCACCGGCUAACUACGUG